AAGCGGCAACAGCUCAAAUUUGAAAUCUGGCGCAAGCCCGAGUUGUAAUUUGUAGAGGAUGCUUCUGGGCAGCGGCCGUUCUAAGUUCCUUGGAACAGGACGUCAUAGAGGGUGAGAAUCCCGUAUGUGACCGGCACGUACCCUUUACGUAGCUCCUUCGACGAGUCGAGUUGUUUGGGAAUGCAGCUCUAAAUGGGAGGUAAAUUCCUUCUAAAGCUAAAUACCGGCCAGAGACCGAUAGCGCACAAGUAGAGUGAUCGAAAGAUGAAAAGCACUUUGGAAAGAGAGUUAAAAAGCACGUGAAAUUGUUGAAAGGGAAGCGCUUACAACCAGACUUCGUGGCGGUGUUCCGCCGGUCUUCUGACCGGUCUACUCGCCGCCGCGAGGCCAGCAUCGUCUGGGGCCGCCGGAUAAGACCUUGGGAAUGUAGCUUGCCUCGGUAAGUGUUAUAGCCCAGGGUGAUGCGGCGCGCCUCGGGCGAGGUCCGCGCUUCGGCAAGGAUGCUGGCGUAAUGGUUGUCAGCGGCCCGUCUUGAAACACGGACCAAGGAGUCUAACAUCUAUGCGAGUGUUCGGGUGUCAAACCCCUACGCGUAAUGAAAGUGAACGGAGGUGGGAAGCGCAAGCUGCACCAUCGACCGAUCCUGAUGUCCUCGGAUGGAUUUGAGUAAGAGCAUAGCUGUUGGGACCCGAAAGAUGGUGAACUAUGCCUGAAUAGGGUGAAGCCAGAGGAAACUCUGGUGGA
rnacentral:rRNA from 1 species